rnacentral:rRNA from 1 species
UAAUACGGGGGGAGCAAGCGUUGUUCGGAUUUACUGGGCGUAAAGGGCGCGUAGGCGGCCAGCACAAGUCAGUUGUGAAAUCUCCGAGCUUAACUCGGAAAGGUCAACUGAUACUGUGCGGCUAGAGUGCGGAAGGGGCAACUGGAAUUCUUGGUGUAGCGGUGAAAUGCGUAGAUAUCAAGAGGAACACCUGCGGCGAAGGCGGGUUGCUGGGCCGACA